CCAAUAGCGUAUAUUAAAGUUGUUGCAGUUAAAAAGCUCGUAGUUGAAUUUCGGGAUCAGUUGGUCGGUCGUGCCUCGGUACGUACUGGUCAAAUUGAUUCCUACCUUCUGACGAACCACGAUGUCAUUAAUUUGGUGUCGUGGGAAAUCAGGACUGUUACUUUGAAAAAAUUAGAGUGUUUAAAGCAGGCUCGCGCUUGAAUACAUUAGCAUGGAAUAA
rnacentral:rRNA from 1 species